CUUGAGCGAGCCGAGGAACAACGGACGCCCUUCAGGUCGCUUCUGACCGUAGGUCGCCAGCAGUGCGUGCGCCUC
rnacentral:antisense_RNA from 1 species